rnacentral:rRNA from 1 species
GACUAAGCGUACACGGUGGAUGCCCUGGCAGUCAGAGGCGAUGAAGGACGUGCUAAUCUGCGAUAAGCGUCGGUAAGGUGAUAUGAACCGUUAUAACCGGCGAUUUCCGAAUGGGGAAACCCAGUGUGAUUCGUCACACUAUCAUUAACUGAAUCCAUAGGUUAAUGAGGCGAACCGGGGGAACUGAAACAUCUAAGUACCCCGAGGAAAAGAAAUCAACCGAGAUUCCCCCAGUAGCGGCGAGCGAACGGGGAGGAGCCCAGAGCCUGAAUCAGUGUGUGUGUUAGUGGAAGCGUCUGGAAAGGCGCGCGAUACAGGGUGACAGCCCCGUACACAAAAAUGCACAUGCUGUGAGCUCGAUGAGUAGGGCGGGACACGUGGUAUCCUGUCUGAAUAUGGGGGGACCAUCCUCCAAGGCUAAAUACUCCUGACUGACCGAUAGUGAACCAGUACCGUGAGGGAAAGGCGAAAAGAACCCCGGCGAGGGGAGUGAAAAAGAACCUGAAACCGUGUACGUACAAGCAGUGGGAGCACAGAGCAAUCUGUGUGACUGCGUACCUUUUGUAUAAUGGGUCAGCGACUUAUAUUCUGUAGCAAGGUUAACCGAAUAGGGGAGCCGAAGGGAAACCGAGUCUUAACUGGGCGUUAAGUUGCAGGGUAUAGACCCGAAACCCGGUGAUCUAGCCAUGGGCAGGUUGAAGGUUGGGUAACACUAACUGGAGGACCGAACCGACUAAUGUUGAAAAAUUAGCGGAUGACUUGUGGCUGGGGGUGAAAGGCCAAUCAAACCGGGAGAUAGCUGGUUCUCCCCGAAAGCUAUUUAGGUAGCGCCUCGUGAAUUCAUCUCCGGGGGUAGAGCACUGUUUCGGCAAGGGGGUCAUCCCGACUUACCAACCCGAUGCAAACUGCGAAUACCGGAGAAUGUUAUCACGGGAGACACACGGCGGGUGCUAACGUCCGUCGUGAAGAGGGAAACAACCCAGACCGCCAGCUAAGGUCCCAAAGUCAUGGUUAAGUGGGAAACGAUGUGGGAAGGCCCAGACAGCCAGGAUGUUGGCUUAGAAGCAGCCAUCAUUUAAAGAAAGCGUAAUAGCUCACUGGUCGAGUCGGCCUGCGCGGAAGAUGUAACGGGGCUAAACCAUGCACCGAAGCUGCGGCAGCGACACUAUGUGUUGUUGGGUAGGGGAGCGUUCUGUAAGCCUGUGAAGGUGUGCUGUGAGGCAUGCUGGAGGUAUCAGAAGUGCGAAUGCUGACAUAAGUAACGAUAAAGCGGGUGAAAAGCCCGCUCGCCGGAAGACCAAGGGUUCCUGUCCAACGUUAAUCGGGGCAGGGUGAGUCGACCCCUAAGGCGAGGCCGAAAGGCGUAGUCGAUGGGAAACAGGUUAAUAUUCCUGUACUUGGUGUUACUGCGAAGGGGGGACGGAGAAGGCUAUGUUGGCCGGGCGACGGUUGUCCCGGUUUAAGCGUGUAGGCUGGUUUUCCAGGCAAAUCCGGAAAAUCAAGGCUGAGGCGUGAUGACGAGGCACUACGGUGCUGAAGCAACAAAUGCCCUGCUUCCAGGAAAAGCCUCUAAGCAUCAGGUAACAUCAAAUCGUACCCCAAACCGACACAGGUGGUCAGGUAGAGAAUACCAAGGCGCUUGAGAGAACUCGGGUGAAGGAACUAGGCAAAAUGGUGCCGUAACUUCGGGAGAAGGCACGCUGAUAUGUAGGUGAAGCGACUUGCUCGUGGAGCUGAAAUCAGUCGAAGAUACCAGCUGGCUGCAACUGUUUAUUAAAAACACAGCACUGUGCAAACACGAAAGUGGACGUAUACGGUGUGACGCCUGCCCGGUGCCGGAAGGUUAAUUGAUGGGGUUAGCGCAAGCGAAGCUCUUGAUCGAAGCCCCGGUAAACGGCGGCCGUAACUAUAACGGUCCUAAGGUAGCGAAAUUCCUUGUCGGGUAAGUUCCGACCUGCACGAAUGGCGUAAUGAUGGCCAGGCUGUCUCCACCCGAGACUCAGUGAAAUUGAACUCGCUGUGAAGAUGCAGUGUACCCGCGGCAAGACGGAAAGACCCCGUGAACCUUUACUAUAGCUUGACACUGAACAUUGAGCCUUGAUGUGUAGGAUAGGUGGGAGGCUUGGAAGUGUGGACGCCAGUCUGCAUGGAGCCGACCUUGAAAUACCACCCUUUAAUGUUUGAUGUUCUAACGUUGACCCGUAAUCCGGGUUGCGGACAGUGUCUGGUGGGUAGUUUGACUGGGGCGGUCUCCUCCUAAAGAGUAACGGAGGAGCACGAAGGUUGGCUAAUCCUGGUCGGACAUCAGGAGGUUAGUGCAAUGGCAUAAGCCAGCUUGACUGCGAGCGUGACGGCGCGAGCAGGUGCGAAAGCAGGUCAUAGUGAUCCGGUGGUUCUGAAUGGAAGGGCCAUCGCUCAACGGAUAAAAGGUACUCCGGGGAUAACAGGCUGAUACCGCCCAAGAGUUCAUAUCGACGGCGGUGUUUGGCACCUCGAUGUCGGCUCAUCACAUCCUGGGGCUGAAGUAGGUCCCAAGGGUAUGGCUGUUCGCCAUUUAAAGUGGUACGCGAGCUGGGUUUAGAACGUCGUGAGACAGUUCGGUCCCUAUCUGCCGUGGGCGCUGGAGAACUGAGGGGGGCUGCUCCUAGUACGAGAGGACCGGAGUGGACGCAUCACUGGUGUUCGGGUUGUCAUGCCAAUGGCACUGCCCGGUAGCUAAAUGCGGAAGAGAUAAGUGCUGAAAGCAUCUAAGCACGAAACUUGCCCCGAGAUGAGUUCUCCCUGACUCCUUGAGAGUCCUGAAGGAACGUUGAAGACGACGACGUUGAUAGGCCGGGUGUGUAAGCGCAGCGAUGCGUUGAGCUAACCGGUACUAAUGAACCGUGAGGCUUAACCUUACAACGCCGAAGGUGUUU